GGUUUCUUUGAACUGCCUUUGUGCUGACUAGGCAAAGCUCCUUGCCAAUGCUAGUCACGGUUUAAGGAACUUUGAGUUAACCUCUUAUAUCGAAUGAAUCUUUUCAUUUGGAAACCAAUAAAUCUCAAUCUCUAGCCACCUUUUGUAGAACAGACUGGGGCUUACCAAGGCGAGGCUGAAGCUUAUAAUAAAGAAGAGAUAAAGUUUGCCAAAGUUUGGGUUGCCUUUUUUUUUUUUUUUUUUUCCUUUCCCCUCCUUCUUCUUCCUCUUCUUCUCUUGUAAAUAAAAGUUUUGGAGAUGGCAGCAUUUGGAAGCAAUCCGGAGAAGGACUUGGAUCUAUGCAUUGUUUCACAUGCUCCCCAGAGGCAGAUGGUCAUUAUCACACCCUCACUCCUUGAUAGGGAAACUGAGGCAAUGUGUUUUUAGGAAAACAGAGUGGAGUCUUUGUCAAACCUCCCAGGUGAGUUCAGUGCUCUGCAGUCUCCCAUGUGGGACAAAAUCCUCUGCUGCUGGGUAUAAAGGGAGAAUCUCCUGGUUUUCCUCAUUGGAAAGAUGCAAAGGUGAAAAAGGGGGAGCCAGGCCAUGAAAAUGAUGUCUGUGGAUCUUCCAAUUCUCUGCUGGGCAUUUGAACUUAAAAUGUCAGCAACUCUCUUCUCCCUUGCUCUCGAGAGGGAAGCUAUAUCUGGAGUAGGGCAACAUGCCUUAAUUUGAGAAAUUUAAUGCCUUCGAAGACUACCAAAGCACAAUUAGCAAAUAAAAAAAUCCCAGAAGUCAAGGCAGCAGACCAGAGUAUGUAGUUCAAACAUCAAAGGAAUAUUACCUAUGCUUUCAUCUCCCUUUCCUCUUGUGAGUCAAAGAUACAAAGAUAUUACUGCAUAUUUUAAGCAUUUUCUGUUUUCAAAGCUGAAAUGUCGGUGUAAUUACCCCAAUGGUAAUUUCUGUUGUGCUGUGCCACGCAGGUACUUCAGCAGAAUCUCCCAGUUUUCACAUUAUUAUCUCCAUCUCUGCCUUUGAUAGGUUUGUGUCCAAUUUGCUCUGGAUUUGAACUGGUUCACAUUCCUUGAAAAUCUGCUUUGAAUGCUGCCAGAUGAGAAUAAACUUUGCAGCUGAGGAUUAUUGACAAAUCUGCUCGAAAAAGCCACGUGAAGAGCAUCCUUUAUGGUCCAUCUUGUGGUAAAACGUGGGUAUUUCUUUGCUCAUUUGAAUGUCAGUGGAUUAUUUAUGCUGGUGCAAUGUUUUCAAGAGAUAAAAUACUCCCCACUGUGCUACAUGCAAAUCUCUGCAAUGUAAACAUAAAUAGUUGUUGCACAUGCAUAAUCAAAGACAUUUUUAAUAAUUAUUGUUGGAUAGUUCAGUCCUCUAAUAGCAUCAUCUGGUGUAAAUCAGUGUAGCUCUACUGAAGCCUGCAAAGCCCCUACCGAUUUGUACCAGAUGGGGCUCAAACUCUCCACUCUAAGUUUAGCCCUUCUACAAAAAUAAAAAAAAGAAAGAGAGAAAAAGCCCUGGUAGUCCUUGAAAAUGAAGUUCAUUGUUCAUUCAUGGGAAGCUGGUAGAGCAAGAGUGGCAGGGACUUUUCUUGCUCCAUCCUCAGCCCUUAUCUAGGGAGAGCAUUUCUGCCAUGAGGGCAAGCAGGGGGUUCUGUGCCAAGUGAGUUCCUGGCCCCUCUGCUCAGACUGCUGCCAAGAUUUGCCAGAUAAUGUCAUUUAUAACAUGAACUCCUUUCUGACAAGAUUUGGACCAAGACCACCAGCUCUUUAGCAUGGGCCAGCAGACACUGCCAGAUGCUAGGAAUUUUCAGAACCUGUGCUGCAUUUUUAGACACCUAAAGGUGAAGGGCUGGAAAUGUGGUUUUCUGUCCCCAGAGCAAUCUUGUUUCACUGUCAUUCAGCAUUAUCUUUCCUCCAACACUGUACACAGCACAAAGAACUUUCUAAAGCUACUUUGACACCUGAUUUGACUCUGGCUGAAGACAACAACCUCAAUUUCAUCCUUCUGGCGUUCUGCAAAAAACUGUGCUCUGAGUUAAUAUAAAAGACAAUAUUCAGUAGCAUCUAUUUUCACAAAUUAAUUUAGGCUACAUCAUUCAAAUGGGCACUAGUGGAGUUGCCCAUGAAGAUUUUAAUGCUAGAAAUAUACAUUAAUAUCCAAACCAUCAACAAUGCCUUAACUGCUGUACAAAGUGUUUUAUCAACAAACACAAAGUAAGUUAAAUUUGCUUAUAUAAAAAGAGGAAAAUUAGGAGUUUGGUCCCCCUCUUUUGAAUGCCGACAGCAAAAAUAUCCACUAAAUACUGGAUAUUACCUAUUAAUAAUAGAUUGGAGGAGAGAGUUUUGACAGAAGUGAAGAGUACACACACAUACACACAGCACAGAUGUACCCACAUUUCAAACAACUAAAACUCUGCAUCACUGUGAUCAGCUCUUUCAGGUUUACCUGUCAGGUUUUUUUCCCCCUUGUUUCUCCAUUUUUUGACAAGAUCCUCCAAAAGAGUUGCUGUUAUUCUUGUGUAGGCUUGAUGUGGAUGUAAACUUUUUUGCAAGAAGCCUGAGCUACUGUUAGCAGCUUCUGAAGAGCUCCAAGUCCGACGUGGGUUUAAUUUGUGGUGAGUGCCAUGGCAGAACUGUCUAACAAUAUAAGUCUGUUGGACAUGUCGUCUGGGCUGUCACGUUCAAUUUGCACAUGACCUCCUGGCCAAAAAAUGGGAAAGAAGUGGUAGAAUGUGGGACUGAAAGCUUAUAUUAUUGCUUUGACAGCUUCACUCAUCUAGAAGUAAUGCAAAAUGCAAUCUAUAUUUAUACUCCCUGACCUUCUGUACAGAGAGUGAAACUAUCUAAUGAUGGGCCAUGGUAGCAGGGAAAGAAACAGAUCUCAAUACAGCUGGAAUUUGUCUACAUUUUUUUUUUUUUUGCUUUUCAACCAUUCAAUUACAGUCAAAAGAUAAAUGAAACAUGAAGAGUGCCUUGCUUAGGUAGUGACACAAUUAUUUUGUAGUGAGUAGGUUCUGGCUUUGAGCCUUGGCAAAGGUUGCCAUGCACACCUUGUUUCACUAGAUACAGAAAAUCUGCCUGCUCCCAUCAGACAAAUCCCCUCUGCUUGGAGGUGUGUCCUUCUGCCCAUCACAGGAGGAGAAGAAAGACACCAGCAACUCAGUACCACUCUUCCCCUGCAUUUCAAUAUCCUCCAGAAAGGCUGAUGCUCUAAUCCUAUUAA